GACGAACGCUGGCGGCGUGCUUAACACAUGCAAGUCGAACGGAAAGGCCCUGCUUUUGUGGGGUGCUCGAGUGGCGAACGGGUGAGUAACACGUGAGUAACCUGCCCUUGACUUUGGGAUAACUUCAGGAAACUGGGGCUAAUACCGGAUAGGAGCUCCUGCUGCAUGGUGGGGGUUGGAAAGUUUCGGCGGUUGGGGAUGGACUCGCGGCUUAUCAGCUUGUUGGUGGGGUAGUGGCUUACCAAGGCUUUGACGGGUGGCCGGCCUGAGGGGGUGACCGGCAACUUGGGGGCUGAGAGACGGCCCAGCCUCCAACGGGAGGCAGGGGGGGGAAAUAUGGCACAGGGGGGGGAGGCCGGGGGCAGCAACCCCGGGGGGGGGAGGGCGGCCUUGGGGUGUAAAACGGUUUUCGCGGGAGAGGAGGGGGGGGGGACGGUAAGGGGUAAAAAAGCCCGGGCAAACUAGGGC
rnacentral:rRNA from 1 species